UACGUAGGGUGCGCGCGUUGUCCGGAGUUACUGGGCGUAAAGCGCACGCAGGCGGUCUGCUAAGUUUGGAGUGACAGUUGGUGGCUUAACUGCCAAAGUGCUUCGAAAACUGACAGACUUGAGGGCUUCAGAGGGACACGGAAUUCCGGGUGGAGUGGUGAAAUGCGUAGAGAUCCGGAGGAACACCAAAGGCGAAGGCAGUGUCCUGGGGAGUACCUGACGCUCAGGUGCGAAAGCCAGGGGAGCGAACGGG
rnacentral:rRNA from 1 species